AAGUAAGGGAUAGCAGGGAAAAAAAAAAAAAAACUUCAGUACAAACCCGAUUCAUUGUUAUGUAUUAGUUUUGUCUAUAUCUAAAAAUUAUAUAUGUACAUUUUAUUUGUAUUAUAGUAUUAAAAAACACGCAUCACAUUAUUGGAUAAAGAAAAAAAACUAAUAUGCAAUAAUGAAUCAAAAACUUUCUAAUGAGACAUCGUUGGAGAAUUGUCUGCUAAAAUUUUAUCAACGAUGGAAGAGAUAAAUAAAUAAAUAAAUUUUUUUAAAAAGGAAGAUAGUAUAUUACUUAUUUCGCUUAUUUUUUAAAAAAUAAAUUUAUAUAAAAAUAAAAAAUAAUUAAAUUUUAAACUUAAAAUCUCAAAAAUUAAUUAUCAAAAUUUUUACCACUUGCGUUGAGUACGGUAGUG
rnacentral:lncRNA from 1 species